rnacentral:rRNA from 1 species
UACGUAGGGGGCUAGCGUUGUCCGGAAUCAUUGGGCGUAAAGCGCGCGUAGGCGGCCAGAUAAGUCCGGUGUGAAAGUCACAGGCUCAACCUGUGAAUGCCGCUGGAAACUGUCUGGCUUGAGUCCGGAAGGGGCGAGUGGAAUUCCUGGUGUAGCGGUGAAAUGCGCAGAUAUCAGGAGGAACACCGGUGGCGAAGGCGGAUCUCUGGGCCUUACCUGACGCUCAGGCGCGAAAGCUAGGGGAGCGAACAGG